rnacentral:rRNA from 1 species
CGUGUAGGCGGCUUGGCAAGUCGGAUGUGAAAUCCCGGGGCCCAACCCCGGAACUGCAUUCGAAACUGCCUGGCUAGAGUCCCGGAGAGGAAGGCGGAAUUCCCGGUGUAGAGGUGAAAUUCGUAGAUAUCGGGAGGAACACCAGUGGCGAAGGCGGCCUUCUGGACGGUGACUGACGCUGAGACGCGAAAGCGUGGGGAGCGAACAGGAUUAGAUACCCUGGUAGUCC